CAGAAAAUACAUACAAUGGAAUACGAGAUAUUCUAAUAUGAUAAAGUGCGGUAUAACAACGUGAACAUGGAAGAAAAGUCUUUUAGUCACAUAAAUUACCAAAUACCUAUAAGACUUACAGCACUCCUGGUUUCUCCAGGUAAUAUCGUAACUCCUGGACCCUCGAGACAGAGCGUCGUUGCAUCUGCAUCUAGAAAAAUAAAAUAUGGAAUAAUGUAACCCACAAUAAAGCAAACCAAGUGCAACGUGGGUGACACACAGUGACACAGUUCAGUGAAUAUCGUUAGCCAAUCACCAGUUGAAUAAGUCAGAUAGGUCAGAACAUCCGUAUUCAAAAAAGUAAUCGUCAGAUGGAAAAAAUGAUAGAAGAAUAAUAUUUCACCUAUUUGAAUAUUCAGGAGUAGAAGUGAUGAAAAUCAAGGAACUUCAAGCAUGACCACAAGAAAGAAGACGUUAUGAUAUAACAAUAUGAUAAUAAAGUAUGACGAUGACGUCAAAA